rnacentral:lncRNA from 1 species
CAGAAUCAAUCAUUUCCAUCAUUGAUUCGUCAGAGAUUUCUCCCCGGGACGCUGUAUCAGUUACAAUCCCCAAAUUUGACAGAGACGUACACAAGUUGAGAGAGAGAGAGAGAGAGAGAGAGAGAGAGAGAGAGAGUAUAACAUCGCUCUAAACCAAACCCCGAUUCGAAAUGACUCGGAUUCACCAAAUUGCAGAUGGAAUUAGCAGAAACAGUCUUUAGUUUCAUCAGCAACGCUGAUGCUCGCCGGGCACAGGAAGGACUUACGCAACUCCCACCGUCUUCUUCUUCUUCUUCUUGGCUCGAACCGGUUCAGCGCAAGUGGCGGAGGAGCAAAAACAAGAACCCAGGGCAAAACAGACCCAAUUCACGACGCGGUCCCACAUCAUCCUCUUCACCAGCCUCCUCUUCGCCGGAAUCACCCCUCCUCUCUUGGCUGAGAAACCCGCCUCUGUUCCUGCCGCCGCCGUCCUCGUCUUUGCCUCCUCCGAGACGCGCGACGCCUUCCCUAUAGCGUCGCCAUGACUCUCGCUCUUCUCCAUCGCUCUCGAUCACAGUUCUCUGCGAUGGAUCUCUUCUUUUCUUGAGAAAGUACAAGCUCCUUUAGCUCUCUCUCUC